rnacentral:rRNA from 1 species
GUCUAUGGCCAUACCACCCUGAAUCUAGUCUGAUCUCGGAAGCUAAGCAAGGUCGGGCCUGGUUAGCACUUGGAUGGGAGAAUCUAUGUUUCCACUUCAGUUGCUUUAGGUUCCUUUAGUCU